UCAGACACACGAUCAUCUUUAACCUAUCGACACCCAGCAUCACGAUGUACAGGGCCGUCAGUGUUUACUGGAUCUCUGUUCUCCUGGUGCCCAGUGUGGUUUCAGCUCAGCAGUUGUCAGCUCGUGUAGUUAAUGGCACAGCAGACGCAGGACGUCUAGAGAUAUUGUACGAUGGAACUUGGAGCACAGUGUGUGACGAUGAAUUUGGACAGAGAGAGGCCUUGGUAGCCUGCAGGAUGCUAGGAUUUAACAGCACAACAGCAGCAGCCGUGGGGACAUCCAAGUACGGAGCAGGCUCUGGUGAUAUUCUGUUCAGUAAACUACAGUGUGUGGGGCACGAAACCAGCCUGGCGCAAUGUCGACACUCGGGGCUCUACAUUCACAACUGUGAUCACUCAGAGGAUGUCGGCGUCAUGUGCAACAUCACUCAGCAGAUGUCAGCUCGUGUAGUUGGUGGCACAGCAGCCGCAGGACGUCUAGAGAUAUUGUACGAUGGAACUUGGAGCACAGUGUGUGACGAUGGAUUUGGACAGAGAGAGGCCUUGGUAGCCUGCAGGAUGCUGGGAUUUAACAGCACAACAGCAGAAGCCGUGGGGACAGCCAAGUACGGAGCAGGCUCUGGUCGUAUUCUGUUCGAUGACCUGCGGUGUGUGGGGAACGAAACCAGCCUGGCGCAGUGUGAACACUGGGGGCUGUACACACACAACUGUGAACACUUAGAGGAUGUCGGCGUCAUGUGCAACAUCACUGACCAGAUGACAGCACGUCUGGCUGGCGGGACUUCACAGGCAGGACGUCUAGAGAUAUUUUUCAACAGAGAAUGGAGCACAGUGUGUGACAAUCAGUUUGGACAGAAAGAGGCUGAGGUAGCUUGCAACAUGCUAGGAUUCAAAACUGGUGGAGCAGCAGCUGUCAGCCCCCGUAGAUAUGGACGAGGUUCAGGUCACAUUCUGCUUAAUAACGUGAACUGCCAGGGAACAGAAACCAGUCUAGCACAAUGUCAGCAUCACCCCCUGUACACCAGCGGCUGUGAUCACUCGAACGACGUUGGCGUCGUCUGUAACAUCACCAACAAUAUGUCUGCGCGGUGGUUCACGGUACAUCUGCGGCGGGGACACUUGAGAUCUUUUUUAACGAGGAAUGGACUACAGUGUGUGACACAUGGUUUGGACAGGAAGAGGCGCAGGUAGCCUGCAGGAUGUUAGGAUUCAACAGUACUGGAGCAGCAGCUGUGAGUUUAGUUGUAUACGGAGCAGGGUCAGGCAACAUUUUGCUCGAUGGCCUAAACUGCAAAGGAACAGAAACUAGUUUGGAAUUCUGCUCUCACAAAAUGCUUUAUGAACACUCCUGCAAGCAUUCGAAUGAUGUUGGUAUCGUCUGCGACAUAGACCUACGUUUGACUGGCACUAGUCGCACCAGACAAGACCUGGGCCUUGUAGAGAUGAAGAUCGGGAGCACGUGGCAAGCUGUUUGCGUGUCUGACGUCACGACGACAGUAAGCGUGC